rnacentral:rRNA from 1 species
UCUGAGAGGAUGAUCCGCCACAUUGGGACUGAGACACGGCCCAAACUCCUACGGGAGGCAGCAGUGGGGAAUUUUGGACAAUGGGGGGAACCCUGAUCCAGCCAUGCCGCGUGUCUGAAGAAGGCCUUCGGGUUGUAAAGGACUUUUGUUAGGGAAGAAAAGCCGGGUGCUAAUACCACCUGGUGCUGACGGUACCUAAAGAAUAAGCACCGGCUAACUACGUGCCAGCAGCCGCGGUAAUACGUAGGGUGCGAGCGUUAAUCGGAAUUACUGGGCGUAAAGCGAGCGCAGACGGUUAAUUAAGUCAGAUGUGAAAUCCCCGAGCUCAACUUGGGACGUGCAUUUGAAACUGGUUAACUAGAGUGUGUCAGAGGGAGGUAGAAUUCCACGUGUAGCAGUGAAAUGCGUAGAGAUGUGGAGGAAUACCGAUGGCGAAGGCAGCCUCCUGGGAUAACACUGACGUUCAUGCUCGAAAGCGUGGGUAGCAAACAGGAUUAGAUACCCUGGUAGUCCACGCCCUAAACGAUGACAAUUAGCUGUUGGGACACUAGAUGUCUUGGUAGCGAAGCUAACGCGUGAAAUUGUCCGCCUGGGGAGUACGGUCGCAAGAUUAAAACUCAAAGGAAUUGACGGGGACCCGCACAAGCGGUGGAUGAUGUGGAUUAAUUCGAUGCAACGCGAAGAACCUUACCUGGUCUUGACAUGUACGGAAUCUCUUAGAGAUAGGAGAGUGCCUUCGGGAACCGUAACACAGGUGCUGCAUGGCUGUCGUCAGCUCGUGUCGUGAGAUGUUGGGUUAAGUCCCGCAACGAGCGCAACCCUUGUCAUUAGUUGCCAUCAUUAAGUUGGGCACUCUAAUGAGACUGCCGGUGACAAACCGGAGGAAGGUGGGGAUGACGUCAAGUCCUCAUGGCCCUUAUGACCAGGGCUUCACACGUCAUACAAUGGUCGGUACAGAGGGUAGCGAAGCCGCGAGGUGAAGCCAAUCUCAGAAAGCCGGUCGUAGUCCGGAUUGCACUCUGCAACUCGAGUGCAUGAAGUCGGAAUCGCUAGUAAUCGCAGGUCAGCAUACUGCGGUGAAUACGUUCCCGGGUCUUGUACACACCGCCCGUCACACCAUGGGAGUGGGGGAUAUCCAGAAGUUGGGUAGACUAACCGCAAGGAGGUCGCUUAA